rnacentral:rRNA from 1 species
CCUACGGGUGGCAGCAGUGAGGAAUAUUGGUCAAUGGGCGUAAGCCUGAACCAGCCAAGUCGCGUGAGGGAUGAAGGUUCUAUGGAUCGUAAACCUCUUUUAUAAGGGAAUAAAGUGUGGGACGUGUCCUAUUUUGUAUGUACCUUAUGAAUAAGGAUCGGCUAACUCCGUGCCAGCAGCCGCGGUAAUACUGAGGAUCCGAGCGUUAUCCGGAUUUAUUGGGUUUAAAGGGUGCGUAGGCGGCCUUUUAAGUCAGCGGGGAAAUCGCGGGGCUCAACCCCGCUCCGCCGUUGAAACUGUGUCCCUUGAGUGCGCGAAGGGUAGGCGGAAUGCGUGGUGUAGCGGUGAAAUGCAUAGAUAGCACGCAGAACUCCGAUCGCGAAGGCAGCCUACCGGCGCGCAACUGACGCUCAUGCACGAAAGCGUGGGUAUCGAACAGGAUUAGAUACCCCUGUAGUC